AUUAACCAAAUUUGUAGAGGAAAUCCAGCAGGACCAUUGCCACAAGAAAGAUAAGCAGCAGGAUCUACCUACAAUGGUCGUCUUGAAAAACAUAAUUUGUACCAGAGUAUUAAAUAUUGUCUUAAAAAUCAGAAGAAAAAAUUUCCCUCAAGGAACCAAUAACUAGCAGAGAUGUUUAGAGAUCUCUUCUAAGUGGGAAUAAAUUCUGCCAUCCCACCUUCCUUGAACCUUGAUAGCAUGUAUAUCAAGCAUACCUCAAAAUUAUACGCUUCCCCCCUUUUCACCUUCCAACUGAUAUUCUUAAACUUUGCCUUAUAAACAUUCAAGAGCUUACCUAAAUCUUCACUAUUUUUUUUAAUGUUCAUAACCAGUUUCUCAAGAGAGGUCUAAAAAUUGAACAACUGGAUCUCUGGGAAAUAAUGCCUCCUGGAUUUGUAGUUGGCCAGUUGCUGUGGUGUAAGUAUUCCCACCAUGGUCAGUGUGAAGCUGCAUGAUGUUACUGGUUACAGAGAUCAGCUAUGAGUCAGCUCCAGCACACGACUGGUUGUAAGCCUUCUGUUCCCAUCUCUCACACCACUUAGGUACCUUAGUAGUGUCUCCAGAAUCUCCACAUAAAAGGAACUGCAGGAGUGAUGUAAUGAAAGGAAGGCUGCAUACUUAAUGCUUUUACUGGAUUAUAUGUUUAUUUGGAGUGAGUUAAGGGGCACAGACGGAGAGGACAGUGGAAGGGUACUAAAGUCCCCUCAUUCGUGCUGUUCACCCACCUUUGGCACAGCCACCCAUUGAGAGUCUUCCAGUCCGCCUUGGUCCCUGAUCUUGAAUCAUCGUGUCAACUUCACCACCGUCCUCCCCAUCACUCUGAUUUGAAACCUUGGAAUCACCCUGCAUUCUUUCCCUAGCCUUGCUUCCCACACCACCAGUCAUUACAUGCUGCCAGUGUCACCUCUGCCGUAGUUUUCCUAUCCCUUUUCUCUUUAUAUUCAUUACACUAGCAAUAUUGAUGGACUUCUCCCCACCUGUUAGGUGGCAAUACCGUUGUAACUGCUCUCCCUACCUGUAGAUUCUUAUCUCCUAGUCAGUGCAACUUGAAAUCUGCUUCCUUUGUAAACUUUCUAAUUGCCUCACUAGCCUGUUGGAAAAACUCUAGUAGCUUUCUACUGAAAAAACCCCAAAUUCCAAAUGUGUUAACAAAGCCAUUAAGGCGUUCCAGUCUCACCCGACUUAGCUUUCCGCUUCCAGUAGCCACGUUUCUGUAACUAUAUACCAGUAUUAGUUGUUUUACAAAUAGCAUCCCAGCUGAUAAGUCAAGUACAUGCAGCUGUGUACAACCUGAUAAACGUUUUUCGUGGUACCCCUGCCUAUAAGUACAUUAUGUUUAAAUGUGCAGGACAGCCCACUCUUGCUUGAAUAAUUGGUAUAUUUUCCCUCUGUCUGCAUCUUUCCUUUUGUAGAUUCCUCUGAAUUCCGCCCCUCUGUACUGCUGAAAUCUUUUCUAUCAUUCAAAGUCUGAGUCAAAUUCAUGUAGGGCUUUUAGACAUUAAAAACAGAAAGAGGAGGUAAUACUUUCUAAAAUAAGACGCAAGGGAGAAAUGACUGUGGCAUCUAAAUGGCUUGAACCAGAAGCCAGAGACUGACUGGAGCCCAGAUAGGAAAGAAUGUUGAGAGCUGAUGAGGAGCAGUGAUAAGCAGCUCCUAGGAAAGCAGGGUAAAUGCUUUCGACCCAGAGCCAUCACCUGCCUCCAGGGGAGGGUGGCUAUGAAUCUCCUAACGUAGCGACACAGAAGACUACCUCAAAUGGGCAGGUUUAACCCCAGAGUCCUCCCCAGGUAUCUAGUAGAGUCUGAUUGUCUACUUGGGACUCACGUGCAGAACGGGCUUAGACAAAAUAAAGAGCUGGUGUGUAAUGUCUGAAACCCCGGAGGGUGCAUCAAGAUAAAACAAGAUCUAAAAGUGCAGUGGUAGAGAGAAGCAUCCUCCCCAUUCGUACACCAGGAAUAUUCUCAGCAAUGGGGAACCCAAGGUUUUAACAUGGGUUAUCAACAAGGAAACCUCAGGGGUAUGGAGUCUGAUUGGCAGUGAUCCUGUUUCUCCAUUCUUCUUCUUCUUUAUGUUUUUUGGCACAUUUUGCCCAGUUGAAAUUAGACUUUGUUUACAGGGUUUUAAAAGUACAAAAGAAUAAAGCUUUAAAAAUCAGGAGGUCCCGCUGUGGAGCAGCAGAAACAAAUCUGACUAGGAUCCAUAAGGACAUGGAUUUGGUCCCUGGCCUUGCUCUGUGAGUUGAGGAUCCGGCAUUGCCGUGAGCUAUGGUGUAGGUCACAGAUGUGGCUUGGAUUCCACGUGGCUGUAGCUAUGGCAUAGGCCAGCAGCUGUAGCUCUGAUAGGACCCCUAGCCGGGGAAUUUUCAUAGGCCACAGGUGCGGCCCUAAAAAGCAAAAUAAGUAAAUAAAUAAAAUUAAAAAUCACCCAUCAUCCUUCCAUAUAUUGACUAAUAUUUUAUACAUUUCCUACUAGUAUUUUUCUACAUAUAUACUGUCUCUUCAUGCAGCCUGUAGCAUCAAAACUUAUUGAUACAAAUGAUCAAAAAUUAGAGAAAAUGAGGAAGUAUGAAAAUGAUACAUAUAACUUAAGAUUCCUUCCAACUUAAUAUUUGAAUUUACUAGCCUUUUGAUACAGAGUAGAUAUUUUCUUUGAGAUUAAAACCACUAGUUUGAGUUUUGUAUCCUCUUUCUUAAACCCAUAAUAGACUUUCAAUAUUUUUCUACUUCAUUUUGUUAGAGUGACGGAAAACAUUCCUAAUUAAGAAUACGAGUAUUAAAUGUUAUUUUCCCCUUUCAUAACCGUCUCACCCAUUCCUAAUCCAAUAGCUCCUUUUUUUUUUUUUCCAGUAACCCAUCUUUGCCAAGUCUUACCAAAGCAUUCAACUUAGUUUCCAAGAAACAAAAACACUUUUGCACUCAAGUUUAAUCCUUUUUAUGCAACAGAGGUUUAGUCAAAUUAUGUGAUGACAACAGCAAGGGCAACUGGCAUGAACAAAUGCAGAAAGAGCCACUGACUCUUGGUUUUCAUGCAACCUGAGUGACAGGAGCAGAACCAAGCAGGCCAAGCAGGGCACGGGGGGUGCUACCAGCUGCUAAAGUUGCAUGAGUCAUGGACCUCCCCAGUAAAGCCUAUGCUGUGAAUAAAGCUCAUUCGCUGGGCAGAGGUUAUUUAGAGACCUUCUGCUGUAUAACCCGCCCGUGAACUUCGUUGUUCACACUUAUUAGCCAUUUGGUUUACUUCCUCAGGCUUAGUUCCCAGAAGUAAAAUUAAAAGCAAGCUUCAGAAUGGAGAGAGAGUGAAAGUCAGAGGACUGGCAAUUUAACCAUAGGCUGGUCUCAAGGGACCUACUCAAGAAGGUCACCCAUGGGCAAAGCCCUGCGGAAGCCCUGCCUGAUCCUUCUAUCUGAUUUCACUGCCCUGCCUCCUGCUCAGCUCCAGCUGCCACGCUGAGCUCUGCACUCUUCCCCCCAAGAUCUGCCUUUGCACUCGUUGUGUUCUCUGCCUGGAGAGCAAAGGAGGGGGCAGAAUGUACAAAGUGCCACUGCUGUGCAAGCUACUACAAGAGAUGAGAGAUGGGAUCGUUGCUUUGGGUUGAUGAGAUUAGAAAAGAUCCUAGGAAGACAUUAUCUUUCCAAAAUGCUUUGCGAAUGUACCCCUCUUGCUAUCUUUUAUUUUAUGUAUAUACAUCACGAAUUCAUCUUACCUCUUAUUUUGUGCUCUUGGAGACAAGAGAAUUUGGGAUCAGACUCACCUGGAUUUGAAUUCCCACCAUGCCCCUUACUGAAUGUGCAACUUUGGUGAGCUGGAUUUCUCUGAGUCCCAGUUUUCUUGUCUGUAAAAUGAAGAUAAUACCCUUCUUUGAAGCUUGGAAGAAAAAGUAAACAUACGAGGUCUGACAAAUGAUGAGGGCGGAUACCACUGUUAAGGAGAAAUGGAUCAGAGCAUAAAGGACAUUUUUUUUUUAACUGUGCUAAGGAGCAUGUACCUUAUUUUAUAGGUCAUGGGGAACCAUUAAAAAUGUUUUGCACAGAGAAGUGAUAUAGUCUAGGUUUUAGAAAGACAACAUGAACAGCAGGCAGAGGGGAUGUUUUCAGAACUGGCUCAGUGAGACCAAAUAGAUGAUAUUUCACUGUUAUGAGACAUGAUGAAGUCACUUCAGCCCGGUUGUAGUGACCGAAGAGGUGGAUUUGAUAACUGGCCAUUAAAAUCUGUGCUCUAAACUUGUUAUCUUAACAUGUAGUCAAUUCUCAAAAUAUAAACAAAAAAAAAUAACUGUUUCUUCAUCAUUUUCAUUGAUGUUUUGACCCAGCUUCCUAGAGUUUGGCUUUAGGUCAUCUUGGAUUUACUGUGUGAGAGGUAUAUAAUUUGAGGACUAUCUACUCAAGCUCCCAAGAAUAGGAAAGGAGGAAAAAAAUCAACUGAUAAACAGGAGUCAGAGAGUCUGGGAAAAGAAACUUAAGUAAACUUUAUUUUGUGCCCAACAGACAUUGCUUUAAAAAGCACUUCUCAGCUGUUGACUCCGAAAAAUAAUUACAUUGCCCAGCUUGGAGCUUGAAGAUAACCAAGGUGGAUAAGGAAAUUAUGAUUUCUUUUUAACUCGUUGUAUUCCACGCUGAUCUCCUUGCAGGGCAAAGAGCAGAUGGAAAGAAUGCACAAGGACAGAUGAGAAAAAACACAUCUUUUCUACUGAUGGAAAAGCUUCAGGGUGUUCUGUUUUGCCAAGGGACGGAGCAUUAGCUUUUAAAUUUUUAGUUAAUUCUGUAUAGGUAAUACAUUCAUAGAGUUUAAAAUUUUAAAAGUACCAAAGGUUAUAGCAUGAAAAAUCUUCCAGCCAUCCUGUCCCCAGGCAGCCAGGUCCCCUUCGCUGACAGUAAUUUCCUACUUAUCCUUUGCAGAGAUACUUUAUGUCUAUACAAGCAAAAGAUAUUCAUUUUUCCCUUUUUCAUACAGUGGGUACCAUAGUAAACAUAGCACUCUGUAUCUUAGGGGGUUUUUUUAAAUGAUAGUUUUAAAAAUGUGUUUUGUUUUAUCUGUUGUUUCCCUUGACAAUAUAUUUGGGAGGCUAUUUCAUAUCAAUACAUAAAGAGUUUCAUCCUUAGUCAGUCUGGCUGCUGAUAUACCAUUAUAUGGAAAUGCCACAAUUUUUAUAACUAACCCAUUCCUUGUUAAGAGACUUUUUUUUUUUUCGGUCUUUUUUGUCUUUUUAGGGCCACACCAGCGGCAUAUGGAGGUUCCCAGGCUAGGGGUCCAGUCAGAGCUGUAGCCACCGGCCUACACCAGAGUCACAGCAACGUGGGAUCCGAGCCACAUCUGCAACCUAUACCACAGCUCACAGCAACGCCAAAUCCUUAACUCACUGAUCGAGGCCAGGGAUCGAACCCAUGUCCUCAUGGAUGCUAGUCAGGUUCACUAACCGCUGAGCCAUGAUAGGAACUCCUGUUAAGAGACCUUUAGAUUGCUUCUAAUCUUUUAUUUCAUGCAGUGAAUAACCUUGUGCAUAUAUCAAUUAGUACCUUUAUUUAUUCUACUCAUGAGGUUAGUUCCUAAGGUGAAAUUGUUGAAUCAAAGUACACUUGACCUUGUAUUCUAGACAAAAGUGCCAAAUUGGUCUCUAUAAAAGUUGUGCUAAUUUGCAUUUUCACCAGUAAAAUAUGAAAGACACCUGUAAAAUACAGCAGAAAACUGCACCAUGAAUUCAUGUGUAGCUGGAGUAAGUUCAUUUCUAGGGCCGCUCCCACAGCAUAUGGAGGUUCCCAGACUAGGGGUCUAAUCAGAGCUGUAUCCACCAGCCUACACCAGAGCCACAGCCACGCGGGAUCCGAGCCGAGUCUGCAACCUACACCACAGCUCACAGCAACGCCAGAUCCUUAACCCACUGAGUGAGGCCAGGGAUCGAACCUGCAACCUCAUGGUUCCUCGUCGGAUUCGUUAACCACUGCGCCACGGUAGGAAAUCCUAGAGAGGCUUUUUUCUAUCCAAGGUGAACACAUUCGUCCCCUAGAUCAGUGGUUCUCACAUGGGGACAGUCUUGCCUCCCAGGAGGCGUUUGGCAAUGUCUGGGAACAUUCUCAAGUGUCACCCCUGGGAGGUGGAGGUGCCGCGAUCUAGUGGGUAGAGAGGCCAGAGAGGCUGCCAAACACCCUACAGCACACGGGACAGUCCGUGUGUCUUUCCCUCCCUGCAUAGUUAUCUGGUCCCACACGUCAGGAGUACCAAGUGACAAAAUCUGCCCGAGACAAAUGUCCACACCCUCCGGAUCGUAUUAAUACAUCCUACACUGCUGAGGAUCCUUGACUCUGUGACUUAAGGCCUGUGCCAAAUAAAACGAGUCCUCCGUGCUUCCAUAGUGCAUGUGGGUUUUGUUUCUUCUACAGCCUUUAUUUUGUAUUGAAAUUAAUGAUUUACAGGAACUGUGAGCGCCUCAGAAACAUGAAUGUGUCCUGUUUAUAUUUGGAUCCUGAAUAUCCGGCAUGAAGAAGGCACUCAGCUUAUUAAAUGAAUGAAUGGAUGUUAACAGCACUUUUUAAUUGUCUCAGGAUGACUUAAGGGAUUAUUUUAUUUUUAAUCAAAGAUC
rnacentral:lncRNA from 1 species